rnacentral:lncRNA from 1 species
CAUCUCCAAUGCGACCCCCCUCCAAAAUGAGAUCACCCCUCUCUGAGUAAUAAUAAUGGUAUGCAUGACUAGAGUCACUCAAGCUCCACCUUGAAGAUAAAAAAUAAUAUAAAAUGACCCAAGAGAGAGGGGGAUAUUGGGGAAGAUACCAUCGUGGAUGAGUCAAGGAAGAUAACAUCAACUGACUCCUGGGACCGGUCGAUGGGCUGUACCUCUCUUCCCCCCCCAUAGGGACGCCUGUGGGUAUACUCUACCGGCAGGCUUAUGCUGAUUGUGUGACAACCAGUUUGGGACCAGGACCCAUGGAGCAGCCGUUAGUACUUCUGAAUACCUCAGACACUGACUCUCCACUUGGGGUCUCCUGAGCUUAAGCUUAAGCAGGCGGGAGAAGGUGGUAAAGGAAAAGAACCAUCUGCACAGCUGAAGAACCAGGAGGAAGUUCUGAGUUGCCUCUCCUGUUUUGGAUCUAGCAGCAUUGUUCAGACUGGAUGAACCAAUUGAUCUUUCCGUUCAGGUUGCAAGCUAGUCUUUUUAGUUGUUGAGAAUUGACAACUGUUGGGAUGACACACCCUGCAGCCAGUAAACCCAGGUUUCCAUUUAAGAUUCACCAACUUACACCCUUAACAGAACAAAAUAAAGGCCUGAGAGAGACAUCAUCACAAUUUUUAAAAAAAAUGCAGGGCUCAAAGGCCAUUUGCAGAGGGAACGUCAGAGAACAGAAGCUCAGCUAUAUAAUAAUUAUUUCAUUGUAGAAAGGAAGCUGUUUUAACAGCAGCAUUUUUGGAAGAAAAAGAUAUGUU